GCUGACUUCAAUGAGACUGAUUCAGAAGUAGCCAAUGCUGGUAUGAAACUUGAAAGCUAUUUUGAAGAACUUCUAAAGAAACUUUAUCCAGAAAAAAGGUUUCCUAAACUUGAAUUCAGACA